CUCACAGAUGAUGGAAAUGCUUAAAACAAACUAAGGUAGUAUGAAACUGACUGAUUCCUGCUAAGCCAAUCCUCACUAGAAUGAGCACAAAACAAAAUGAGUAACUGCUUUUGUACAUCAACAUUAAAUGGAAAGAAGCUUGAGGAGCCUUCAAUGGAGAAGAAUGUUGACAAGUGCAAAAAUGCCUGAUUGGUAAGAGCUGCCUUCUAAACAUAGAUCAGCCAGGCAUGGAAGUGAUUUUCUGAAGAGAGAUGCAAUCAUGGAUUACACACCAGCUCAUUAGAAACUGUCACUGAAUACAGCAUUCAGAAGACAUGCAUGAAAAGUCACAUUUAGGGAAUAAAUUAAAAGGGAUGUAGUUGUUGCUAGGUAAAACUUAUGUAAUAUAUGCAUUGAAAAGGUUUGUAAACUCAUUUUUUUAUUCAACUGAAAAGCAAAAAGCUUUAAAACCUUUCACAGUAGAGAGAGACAGUUAACUCAAGACUAUUUCUGUUCCAGUAGCCAGGAAACUGAUAGGACAUCACUCUUAAAUAAGCAUUUAUAAAUAGACUCUGAAUGUUUCCAUCUCCUAGAGGAAAAAGUAUAACUUUUACUGCAGCAUUUCUGCACUUUGUUUAUUUCACUGUAUAAUACAUUGGUUAAAAAUGUAAAGCUUCUCAAUUUUUACUGCAUAUGUCCUCUGUUUAAUUUAUGUCUGUAACAAACUUAUAACUGAAGAAUUAUUUCUGACAUAUAUUGUAGUUCUGUGAAGGCAUAUAUACAAUAAGUUUCAUCUUUCUGAAUGUCAUAAUACUGUUGAUUCUCAUGCAACAUAGACUUGCUCCUAUUUAAGGUGGCAAAAUAAAACCACUUAUUUACAAAAAGAAAAGG